UAAAUGAUAUAGAAAUGGGGGUACUCUCCAAUCGUAGCAGGAAAGUCUCAGUCGAGCCGUACGUGCAGACAGUGUAUGUGAGCAUUGUAAUUAAAUGUGCGUGUUAACUGAGCGCAAAUUACGAAGUGUGGCAGUUCAGUAGUGCACAUCGAAGACACCAGCGAACAAAUGUGUGGAAAUAAAAGACUGUCAGCGCUUGUCUAGCUCUUUAUGGGUCUUUACAGGGUCUUUUCUGCAUUGCUUCCUGUUGGCCAGCGCCGGCCCCGUACGCUCCACACUAAAACCCCUUUGAUGCUGGCCUGCAGGCUGGCCGGACCCGGCGCUCUGCUAUCUGCUAAUUAUCGCGCUGACAUUUGCUACCACACCAGCGAAACGCCCGGAGGACACCGCGCGGGGUUCGACCAAUAAAGUCAGUCCGGGGAAAGGGGCCAGGCGUGGAGAGGCGAGCGAAAGUCAACACGCAAAAGUGAAGAAAAAAAAAAGGAAUGCAAAGGAGAAACUCGAGUAUCUACAAAAUACGAGUAAGACCACAUAUGCUCUGUGGCACAGACCCCGUCAGCUGUAUUGCCAUGCUCAACACACCAUUUUUGUGGCUCCGUUCUUCCUUCAAUACAGGGGAAAAAAAACCGUUGCAUCAUUACCAGAGCUCCCAUGGAUACGGGCCAUUAGAUAAACAUUUAAACCAAUAAGGAACGCUGAAAUUUCCAACUUACCCCCGGUCUCUCGGCAGCUCGAGUGACGCGCGCUUGGAGGUCCUGAGACGAGGUCUGGAGGCGAAGCCGAGGUGAGCGAACCGCCGACUGCAAAACAUCCCCUUAUCGUCCGAGACGAUCGCAUCGUCGAAGAAGAAAAAUGUGCGAAAAAAGAAGGUAGUGGACUCCCAUCGCGAUGAAAUUCAUCCUGGUACCGCGGACUGGGCCGGGUCUCCACGCGCAGACCCGAACGGGACGGUCCUGCCACCCGCGAUAUGCACACGAGAACCUGUCCAAAAAAGGACACGGCACGGCUUCCCGGCACCCUGGCCUUCCCGCUGUCACACGCUGGAGGGAGGAAGUUCACACCACAAGCUCGGCUAGAAAGUGUUCAAAAUAGAGGGCAGCACAAUUUUAGAGUAACAUCAACAAACAGGACCGCAGUGUCUCCUUUUCAGCAGAUAACGUCGGUUUAGUAAAGAAAAUGCAGUUGUGUCGAUAUUUGCAGAUUCAAUUUCAAACUUUUUUUAAAACUAAAACACCAGAUUCUUCCCUAUUGCCACAAUAAGGAAGGCUUGGAUUGUGUGAGCAGCACAGUAAUAUUCAACCAGCACUAUUUUUCCCUUUUUGUGGAAAUUCGAAUCCUUCAGGCGUUUCUAUUUAACUCCAUAGGAUACGGGCCUUCUAGAAUACAGCGUUAUCGCCGGAGACUCGGGUUCGCUGUCCACGUACUUCAAACACAGAAACAGCUGUUUUCUGAAGAGUCCGAUGAAAAUAUUCCAAAUGCUAUUUGAAAUAAAUAACUAAUGCUCACGAAAUGCACCGGAAAUGCACCAAUGACGUUUCACUGUCACAAGAGACAUUUUUAUUCCAAGUCUAAUAUGUAGGCCUAGACAUAUUUUAUUAUGAAUUAAUACUAUGUUCUAGAUAGGUUUGAACAGUGAUAUGCUUAUGUCUGUGUUCAUUAUUUACAUUACACAAUCGUACUUAUACGUUACCAUGAACAUUUAUACAUAUAUAUUUUCGUAACCUUUAAAGUUAUUGUGUUAUGUUUAUAAUUUAAAAGCCGAAUUGUACAAAUCUGCUUUGGUUGGAAUCUAGUAUCAGCUAAAAUGCUAGGAUCAAUAACAAAAUAAAGCUGAAAAUUGUAUGA